GGGUGGGGAUUUGUUGCAUUACUUGUCGCUGUGUCUAGAGUAUUGCACUUGUCCCGGCCUGU
rnacentral:pre_miRNA from 1 species